UAGGGAAUCUUCCGCAAUGGACGCAAGUCUGACGGAGCAACGCCGCGUGAGUGAAGAAGGAUCUCGGUUCGUAAAACUCUGUUGUUAGAGAAGAACAGCGCAUAGAGUAACUGUUAUGCGUGUGACGGUAUCUAACCAGAAAGCCACGGCUAACUACGUGCCAGCAGCCGCGGUAAUACGUAGGUGGCAAGCGUUGUCCGGAUUUAUUGGGCGUAAAGCGAGCGCAGGCGGUUAGAAAAGUCUGAAGUGAAAGGCAGUGGCUCAACCAUUGUAGGCAUUGGAAACUGUUUAACUUGAGUGCAGAAGGGGAGAGUGGAAUUCCAUGUGUAGCGGUGAAAUGCGUAGAUAUAUGGAGGAACACCGGUGGAGAAAGCGGCUAUCUGGUCUGUAACUGACGCUGAGGCUCGAACGCGUGGGGAGCGAACAGG
rnacentral:rRNA from 1 species